AUUUUAUGUAUCCAUUCUUCUGUUGUGGGGCAUCUGGGUUGUUUCCAGCUCCUGGCUAUCACAAUUAAGGCUGCUAUGAGCAUAGUGGAACAUGUGCCCCUGUGGCAUGGAAGGGUGUUUUCUGUGUAUAUGCCCAAGAGUGGUAGAGCUGGGCCAUCAGGUAGAUCUAUUUCCAAAUUUCUGAGGAAACUCUAGAUUGAUUUUCAUAGUGGUUGUACUAGUUUGCAAUCCCAACAGCAGUAGAGGAGUAUUUCUCUUUCUCCACAUCUUCACCAACAUGCGCUGUCACCUGAGAUUUUUAUCUUAGCUAUUCUAAUUGGUGUAAAGUGGAAUCCCAUGGUUGUUCUGAUUUUCAUUUUCAGAUCAGUAAGGAUUUUGAACAUUUCUUUAAGUGCUUCUCAGUCCUUCAAGAUUCCUUUGUUGUGAAUUCUCUGUUUAGGUCUAUACCCCCACCCCACCCCUUUUUUUGAUUGGGUUGUUUUUUAUUGCUUAGCUUAUUGAGUUCUUUAUUUAUUUUGGAUAUUGCUCCUCUAUCAGAUGUGAGGUUAGAGUAGUUUUUUUUUCUCUCAAUUUGUAUGUUGCCGAAGUGUCCUAUUGAUUAUGUCCUUUCCUGUACAGAAGUUUUUUAGUUUCAUGUGGUCCCAUUUAUCAAUUCUUUAUCUUAGAGCCUGAGACAUUGGAGUUAUCAAGAAGGUUAACAAGCCAAAUGGGGCCAAGUGUGGAUGCCUCAAUCCUACUUGGGAGGGAGAAGAAAGAAAUCAUUGAGGGAAGUGGGAGAGAGGGGCCUGGGGAAGUGGGGCAGGACUGAAGCCCCGAGGGCCAACAGAAAGAAUGGAAACAGGCAACCUCAGGAUGUAGACAGGGGCACACUAUCUAGAAUGUACCAUAGACCUGCGAGGUGAAAGAAUCUCAUGACUUAAAGGAAGGAACCUUAGAUGAAAGGCCCUACAGUGGGGAGAGGGAAUUUGUAGAGUUCACCUCCGAUAGAAAGACAGUGCAUCAAGUGGAAGGAUGGGGUUGCAAUCCCACAAUCAAAAACCUGACCCAGAAUUGUUUCUGUCUAAAAGAACUGCAGGAACAGAAGAGAAGAGAC
rnacentral:lncRNA from 1 species